rnacentral:rRNA from 1 species
CCUACGGGAGGCAGCAGUAAGGAAUAUUGGUCAAUGGACGCAAGUCUGAACCAGCCAUGCCGCGUGGAGGAUUAAGGCCCUCUGGGUUGUAAACUCCUUUUAUCUGGGGAGAAAUGCAUUUUUUCUAAAGUGCUUGACGGUACCAGAGGAAUAAGCACCGGCUAACUCCGUGCCAGCAGCCGCGGUAAUACGGAGGGUGCAAGCGUUAUCCGGAUUCACUGGGUUUAAAGGGCGCGUAGGCGGGCAGGUAAGUCCGUGGUGAAAUCUCUGAGCUUAACUCAGAAACUGCCAUGGAUACUAUUUGUCUUGAAUAUUGUGGAGGUAAGCGGAAUAUGUCAUGUAGCGGUGAAAUGCUUAGAUAUGACAUAGAACACCAAUUGCGAAGGCAGCUUACUACACAGUUAUUGACGCUGAGGCACGAAAGCGUGGGGAUCAAACAGGAUUAGAUACCCUGGUAGUCCACGCCCUAAACGAUGAUUACUCGACAUCAGCGAUACACUGUUGGUGUCUGAGCGAAAGCAUUAAGUAAUCCACCUGGGAAGUACGAUCGCAAGAUUGAAACUCAAAGGAAUUGACGGA